UACGGAGGGUGCGAGCGUUGUCCGGAAUCAUUGGGCGUAAAGAGCUCGUAGGCGGCUUGUCACGUCGGGUGUGAAAGCCCGGGGCUUAACCCCGGGUCUGCAUUCGAUACGGGCUAGCUAGAGUGUGGUAGGGGAGAUCGGAAUUCCUGGUGUAGCGGUGAAAUGCGCAGAUAUCAGGAGGAACACCGGUGGCGAAGGCGGAUCUCUGGGCCAUUACUGACGCUGAGGAGCGAAAGCGUGGGGAGCGAACAGG
rnacentral:rRNA from 1 species